CGGUUCGCCGCCGGCGACGUCGCGAGAAGUCCACUGAACCUUAUCAUUUAGAGGAAGGAGAAGUCGUAACAAGGUUUCCGUAGGUGAACCUGCGGAAGGAUCAUUGUCGAUGGCCGAACGAGGGUAGACCCGCGAACCGCGUGACUCGAGAGGAAGGGGGGGCAUGCCGCGGCACCGGCGCGAGGCCGGGCCGGCGUUCCCUCCCGCCGCGGCACCGGCGCGAUGCCGGGCGCGGCGAACGGAACCGACACACCCACCGGCGCGAGUGGCGCCAAGGACCCCAAGAGGAGCGGGGGAGGAGGACGGGCGCGAGGACGGCCCCUCCGCCGCGCGAGGGAACAUCGAACGGACGACUCUCGGCAACGGAUAUCUCGGCUCUCGCAUCGAUGAAGAACGUAGCGAAAUGCGAUACUUGGUGUGAAUUGCAGAAUCCCGCGAACCAUCGAGUCUUUGAACGCAAGUUGCGCCCGAGGCCACCCGGCCGAGGGCACGCCUGCCUGGGCGUCACGCACCGCGCUGCCCGCACCCGGCCGGGGUGGCGGGCGGAGAUUGGCCGACCGUGCGCCCCGCGCGCGCGGCGGGCUGAAAGCCAUGAUGCACGCAGCGCCCCCCGGAGGGGCGUCGGCGCGGCGUUGGGUGGUCCCUCGAGAGGGCUCUCGAUCGGACGCCGCGCGCGCCGCCCGCUCCGAGGGGACGUAGGCGCCCCCCACGACUGCGUCGCGACCCCAGGUCAGGCGGGGCCACCCGCCGAGUUUAAGCAUAUAAAUAAGCGGAGGAAAAG
rnacentral:sRNA from 1 species